rnacentral:rRNA from 1 species
UGAGUACAAGAUGCUACGGCAUUGAAGCAGUCUAUGUCAUACUUCCAAGAAAAGCUUGCAAUGUCAUAAACAAAUAAUGCCUGUACCAUAACCGACACAGGUGGGUAGGUAGAGUAUACUAAGGGGCGCGAGAUAACUCUCUCUAAGGAACUCGGCAAAAUGACUCCGUAACUUCGGGAGAAGGAGUACCUUAUUUUAUAAGGUUGCAAUAACAAGGUCCAAGCAACUGUUUACCAAAAACACAGGUCUCCGCUAAGUCGUAAGACGAUGUAUGGGGGCUGACGCCUGCCCAGUGCCAGAAGGUUAAAGAAGUUGGUUAGCAUUAGCGAAGCUGAUAACUGAAGCCCUGGUGAACGGCGGCCGUAACUAUAACGGUCCUAAGGUAGCGAAAUUCCUUGUCGGGUAAGUUCCGACCCGCACGAAAGGCGUAAUGAUUUGGAUACUGUCUCGGAGAGGGGCUCGGUGAAAUAGACUUGUCUGUGAAGAUGCGGACUACCUGCACCUGGACAGAAAGACCCUAUGAAGCUUUACUGUAACUUGAGAUUGAAAUUGGACUUUAUUUUCGCAGUAUAGGUGGGAGACCUCGAAAGUAUUCUUGCGGGAAUAUUGGAGUCAUCAGUGAAAUACCACUCUUAUAAUGUUAGAUUUCUAACUUUGUAUCAUUAUCUGGUCAAAGAACAGUUUCAGGCGGGCAGUUUGACUGGGGCGGUCGCCUCCCAAAUGGUAACGGAGGCGCACAAAGGUUUCCUCUGAACGUGUAGAAAUCGUAUCUAGAGUGUAAAGGCAUAAGGAAGCUUGACUGUGAGACCUACAAGUCGAGCAGGGACGAAAGUCGGUCUUAGUGAUCUGACGGUGCUGAGUGGAAAGGCCGUCACUCAACGGAUAAAAGUUACUCUAAGGAUAACAGGCUGAUCUCCCCCAAGAGUUCACAUCGACGGGGAGGUUUGGCACCUUGAUGUCGGCUCAUCGCAUCCUGGGGCGGUAGUACGUCCCAAGGGUUGGGCUGUUCGCCCAUGAAAGCGGUACGCGAGCUGGGUUCAGAACGUCGUGAGACAGUUCGGUCCAUAUCCGGUGUAGGCGUUAGAAUAUUGAGAGGAGCCUUCUUUAGUACGAGAGGACCGAGAAGGACAUACCUCUGGUGUACCAGUUAUCGUGCCAACGGUAAACGCUGGGUAGCUAUGUAUGGAGAGGAUAACCGCUGAAAGCAUCUAAGUGGGAAGCCCACCUCAAGAUAAG